rnacentral:lncRNA from 1 species
CAGUUUCUUCUUGCAGAAACCACAGAACAGAGUCUUGCUCAUAGUCCUUGCUCUCCUUCUGCCUUCUCCUGACUGGCUUUGGUGCUUCCCAUUUGCCCUAUACUACCUCUCACUCCCCCAUUUUGGUGGCAUACCAUGUCCUCCUGGGAACUGUGUGGUGGCUUACUCCUGUAACCCCCAGCACUUUGGGAGGUCGAGGCGGGUGGAUCACCUGAGACCAAGAGUUCAAGACCAGCCUAGCCAAAAUGGCAAAAUCCUGUCUCUAUUAAGAAUACUAAAAUUAGGAGGACUCAAGAUGGCGCUGUGAGAACAACCCAGGAUUGGAGCUCUUCUCGUUGAAUCUGCAAACGGUGAGUCAGAGCGGUAUUUCCAGACUGAUCUUUGUUGCCCACAGAACGGGGAAACUCCCAAGUAUAAAAAAGACACGGGAUGCCAGGCAGUAGGUCUGCCUGGUGAAGCCGGCAGCCGGGGCGGCGGCGGCCGGCCCUACCCAGCAAUCCCCACAGGGCGCGCUUGUCCGGGUGCCCUGUUGAACCAGCAACCUGAGACUUGAGAGGGCUGGACUUGAGACUGAAUGAGACUUGGACAGUAGCCCAGCCCAGGGGAUUGCAGGAAUUGGGAUACCCAGUGGGACGAACAAAACCGCGAUUUCAAACUAUCCCGAGCAGACGGUCCGAGAUGCUCUGUGGGGGAGGGGCAUCCACCACUACCGAGGCAACCCGCCCCAACUGAGAUACACGCCCACUGCUGAUGCAGCCAGCCGUUGCCGAGGCAACCCGCCCCAACGGAGAUACACGCCCAUUGCUGACGCAGCCAGCCGUUGCCGAGGCAACCCGUCCCUACUGAGAUACACGCCCACUGCUGACGCAGCCUGCUGUUGCUGAGGCAACACGCUACAACAAAGAGACUCCGCUGCAGGGCGUGGCGGAGACCACAGCAGAGCCGGCAGGAACAGCACGAAUCACACAACAGCAGGGCGGAGCCUCGGCAGCCAAACAGUGGCUAGUCUGCCUUCUAGCUGUGCAGGACACCUGAUCGGACAUCCAAAAAUAAAGCCCAAACCCCUCAACACAGAGCAUUUGAGGAAAAAAAAAAAAAAGGGGGGUUUUUUAAUGAGCUCUGUUGCAGCAGAAUCAAACAUAGCAGCCUAACAGCCCUGAAUGAACAACAGAGUGCACAGCUCAGCAAUUAAACCCCUAUAAAGUACAAACUGUCUCCUCAAGCAGCUCCCUGACCCCUCUAUAUCCAAAAGACUGACAUUAGGCAGGCAUCAUCCUGGGACAAAGAGAGCAGAAAAAGAAACUGGUAGCAUCCCUCGCUGUGCCAAAGCUACUAGAGGUGCACCCCAGACAAGCAGGGUCUGGAGCGGACCUCAGCAGUCGUACAGCGAAGGGGCUAGACUGGUAGAAGGAAAACAAAGAAACAGAAAUACUUUAUCAUCAACAUUCUGGGUGUCCACUCAGAGACCCAAACGAAAAGUCAGCAACUACGCAGACGAC